rnacentral:rRNA from 1 species
CCUACGGGGGGCAGCAGUGGGGAAUAUUGCACAAUGGGGGAAACCCUGAUGCAGCGACGCCGCGUGAGUGAAGAAGUAUUUCGGAAUGUAAAGCUCUAUCAGCAGGGAAGAAAAUGACGGUACCUGACUAAGAAGCCACGGCUAACUACGUGCCAGCAGCCGCGGUAAUACGUAGGGGGUGAGCGUUCUCUGGAUUUACUGGGUGGAAAGGGAGCGGGGGUGGCAUGGUAAGGCAGAGGUGGAAACCCAGGGGUCAACUAUGUGGAUUGCUUUUGGAACUAUCAAGCUAGAGUGCUGGAGGGGUAAGUGGAAUUCCUGGUGUAGCGGUGAAAUGCGUAGAUAUUAGGAGGAACACCAGUGGCGAAGGCGGCUUACUGGACAGUAACUGACACUGAGGCGCGAAAGUGUGGGUAGCAAACAGGAUUAGAUACCCGGGUAGUC